AUGAACGCUAGCGGCAGGCCUAAUACAUGCAAGACGAACGGCAAGUUGAAUAGCAAUAUUUGACCUAGAGUGUCGUAAGGGUGCGUAACACGUAUGCAAUCUGCCCACAACAGGAGUAUAGCUCCCCGAAAGGGGAAUUAACCCUCCAUAAGACCACACGAGGGCAUCCGAGAAUGGUUAAACCAAAAGGGGUUGUGGAUGAGCAUGCGGUGACAUUAGCUAGUUGGUGAGGGUAACGGCUCACCAAGGCGACGAUGAUAAUUAGGGGAUCUGAGAGGAAUGGUCCCCCCACACUGGUACUGAGACACGGACCAGACUCCUACGGGAGGCAGCAGUAGGAAUAUUGGUACAAUGGACUGAAGUACUGAUCCAGCCAUGCCGCGUGCAGGAAGACGGCCCUAUGGGUUGUAAACUGCUUUUUGCAUGGGAUAAAGCCUCUCUAGCGGGUAGGAGUUGAAUGUAGCUCUGAGGAAUAAGCAUCGGCUAACUCCGUGCCAGCAGCCGCGGUAAUACGUAGGAUCGGCAAGCGUUGUCCGGAUUUAUUGGGUUUAAAGGGUGCGUAGGGGUGCCAUGUUAAGUCAGUGGUGAAAUACGGUAGCUCAACUAGUCGCAGGUGCCCUUGAUACUGCGGAAUGGCUUGAAUGACUAGAGGUAGGCGGAAUGUGACAGGUAGCGGUGAAAUGCAUAGAUAUCGUCACAGAACACCGAUUAGCGAAGGCAGCUUACUAAUGGUAUUUAAUUGACAGCUGAGGCACGAAAGUGCGGGGAUCAAACAGGAUUAGAUACCCUGGUAGUCCCGCACAGUAAACGAUGAUACUCGAUGUUGGCGAUAUACGGCAGCGUCUAGCGAAAGCGAUUAAGUAAUUCCACCUGGGGAGUACGCCCGCAAGGGUGAAACUCAAAGGAAUUGACGGGGGUCCCGCACAAGCGGAGGAGCAUGUGGUUUAAUUCGAUGAUACGCGAGGAACCUUACCCUGGGCUUAGAAUGCUUAGUGAAUAGAUGCAGAGACUGCUCUAGUCCUUCGCAAGGACAAGGAGAACUAGGUGCUGCAUGGCUGUCGUCAGCUCGUGCCGUGAGGUGUUGGGUUAAGUCCCGCAACGAGCGCAACCCCUACCUUUAGUUGCCAGCAUGUAAUGGUGGGGACUCUAAGCAGGACUGCCUAGCGCAAGAGAGAGGAAGGAGGGGAUGACGUCAAGUCAUCAUGGCCCUUACGUCCAGGGCUACACACGUGCUACAAUGGAGUGUACAGAAGUGUGCAGCUACCUGGCAGCGAUGCCGAUGCCAAUCAUCUAAAGGCCAGUCAUCAGUUCGGAUUGCAGGUCUGCAACUCGACCUGCAUGAAGUUGGAAUUCGCUAGUAAUCGCAGAUCAGCAAUGCUGCGGUGAAUACGUUCCCGGACCUUGUACACACCGCCCGUCAAGCCAUGGAAGCUGGGGGUGCCUGAAGUACAGUUAGCCUGCAAGGAGCCGCCUAGGGUAAAACCGGUACUGGGGCU
rnacentral:rRNA from 1 species